rnacentral:rRNA from 1 species
UAGUGGCGAACUGGUGAGUAACACGUAGGUAACCUACCUUAAGGACUGGGAUAACAAUUGGAAACGAUUGCUAAUACCGGAUAACAUGUAGACUUCUAAUUGUCUAUAUUAAAAGGAGCUUCGGCUUCACCUUUAGAUGGGCCUGCGGCGUAUUAGUUAGUUGGUGGGGUAAUGGCCUACCAAGACGACGAUGCGUAGCCGAGCUGAGAGGCUCAACGGCCACACUGGGACUGAGACACAGCCCAGACUCC